rnacentral:rRNA from 1 species
GAUGAACGCUGGCGGCGUGCCUAAUACAUGCAAGUCGAGCGAACAGACGAGGAGCUUGCUCCUCUGACGUUAGCGGCGGACGGGUGAGUAACACGUGGAUAACCUACCUAUAAGACUGGGAUAACUUCGGGAAACCGGAGCUAAUACCGGAUAAUAUAUUGAACCGCAUGGUUCAAUAGUGAAAGACGGUUUUGCUGUCACUUAUAGAUGGAUCCGCGCCGCAUUAGCUAGUUGGUAAGGUAACGGCUUACCAAGGCGACGUUGCGUAGCCGACCUGAGAGGGUGAUCGGCCACACGGGAACUGAGACACGGACCAGACUCCUACGGGAGGCAGCAGUAGGGAAUCUUCCGCAAUGGGCGAAAGCUUGACGGAGCAACGCCGCGUGAGUGAUGAAGGUCUUCGGAUCGUAAAACUCUGUUAUUAGGGAAGAACAAAUGUGUAAGUAACUAUGCACGUCUUGACGGUACCUAAUCAGAAAGCCACGGCUAACUACGUG